rnacentral:rRNA from 1 species
GACGGAGGGUGCAAGCGUUGCUCGGAAUCAUUGGGCGUAAAGGGUGCGUAGGCGGCUUUUUAAGUCUGACGUGAAAGCCCAAGGCUCAGCCUUGGAAGUGCGCUAGAAACUGAAAGGCUAGAGUGCCGGAGGGGAGAGUGGAAUUCCUGGUGUAGCGGUGAAAUGCGUAGAUAUCAAGAGGAACACCUGAGGUGAAGACGGGUUGCUGGGCUGACACUGACGCUGAGGCGCGAAAGCCAGGGGAGCAAACGGG